rnacentral:rRNA from 1 species
UGCGUUAGCUGCGUCACCGAACUGCAUGCAGCCCGACAACUAGCAAUCAUCGUUUACGGCGUGGACUACCAGGGUAUCUAAUCCUGUUUGCUCCCCACGCUUUCGCGCCUCAGCGUCAGUAAUGAGCCAGUAUGUCGCCUUCGCCACUGGUGUUCUUCCGAAUAUCUACGAAUUUCACCUCUACACUCGGAGUUCCACAUACCUCUCUCACACUCAAGAUCGCCAGUAUCAAAGGCAGUUCCGAAGUUGAGCUCCGGGAUUUCACCUCUGACUUAACGAUCCGCCUACGCGCCCUUUACGCCCAGUAAUUCCGAGCAACGCUAGCCCCCUUCGUAUUACCGCGGCUGCUGGCACGAAGUUAGCCGGGGCUUCUUCUCCGGGUACCGUCAUUAUCGUCCCCGGUGAAAGAAUUUUACAAUCCUAAGACCUUCAUCAUUCACGCGGCAUGGCUGCGUCAGGCUUUCGCCCAUUGCGCAAGAUUCCCUACUGCUGCCUCCCGUAGGAGUUUGGGCCGUGUCUCAGUCCCAAUGUGGCUGGUCAUCCUCUCAGACCAGCUACUGAUCGUCGCCUUGGUGAGCCAUUACCUCACCAACUAGCUAAUCAGACGCGGGCCGCUCUAAAGGCGAUAAAUCUUUCCCCCGAAGGGCACAUUCGGCAUUACCACCCGUUUCCAGGAGCUAUUCCGAACCUAAAGGCACGUUCCCACGUGUUACUCACCCGUCCGCCACUAACCCCGAAGGGUCCGUUC